rnacentral:rRNA from 1 species
UACAGAGGGGGCAAGCGUUGUUCGGAAUUACUGGGCGUAAAGCGCGCGUAGGCGGCCCGGUAAGUCCGCUGUGAAAGUCAAAGGCUCAACCUUUGAAUGUCAGCGGAUACUGCCGGGCUAGAGUCCGGAAGAGGCGAGUGGAAUUCCUGGUGUAGCGGUGGAAUGCGCAGAUAUCUGGAGGAACACCGGUGGCGAAGGCGGCAUCCUGGACCGAGAUUGACGCUGAUGCGCGAAAGCCAGGGGAGCAAACGGG